rfam:Gammaproteobacteria bacterium GWE2_42_36 gwe2_scaffold_3458, whole genome shotgun sequence.
GAUUAUUUUUGGUAAGAUAUACUUACACGCCUUUUUGCAAGCGAGAAAGCGCGUAAAUAAAUCCGUAAAAAGCGAAGAUAUUUGAAGUGAUUAGGAGUAUAUAAAUGGCCCGUAUUGGUGGAGUUAACAUACCAGAC